AUUGAACGCUGGCGGCAUGCUUUGCACAUGCAAGUCGAACGGUAACAGGGAGCUUGCUCCGCUGACGAGUGGCGAACGGGUGAGUAACAUAUCGGAACGUACCCAAGAGUGGGGGAUAACGUAGCGAAAGUUACGCUAAUACCGCAUACGAUCUAUGGAUGAAAGUGGGGGAUCGCAAGACCUCAUGCUCCUGGAGCGGCCGAUAUCUGAUUAGCUAGUUGGUGAGGUAAAGGCUCACCAAGGCGACGAUCAGUAGCUGGUCUGAGAGGACGACCAGCCACACUGGAACUGAGACACGGUCCAGACUCCUACGGGAGGCAGCAGUGGGGAAUUUUGGACAAUGGGCGCAAGCCUGAUCCAGCAAUGCCGCGUGAGUGAAGAAGGCCUUCGGGUUGUAAAGCUCUUUUGUCAGGGAAGAAACGGUAGAGGCUAAUAUCCUUUGCUAAUGACGGUACCUGAAGAAUAAGCACCGGCUAACUACGUGCCAGCAGCCGCGGUAACAC
rnacentral:rRNA from 1 species